AUUGAACGCUGGCGGAAUGCUUUACACAUGCAAGUCGAACGGCAGCACGGACUUCGGUCUGGUGGCGAGUGGCGAACGGGUGAGUAAUGUAUCGGAACGUGCCCAGUCGUGGGGGAUAACGUAGUGAAAAUUACGCUAAUACCGCAUACGAUCUAUGGAUGAAAGCGGGGGAUCGCAAGACCUCGCGCGAUUGGAGCGGCCGAUAUCAGAUUAGGUAGUUGGUGGGGUAAAGGCCCACCAAGCCAACGAUCUGUAGCUGGUCUGAGAGGACGACCAGCCACACUGGAACUGAGACACGGUCAAGACUCAUACGGAAGGCAGGAGUGGUGAAUUUAGGACAAUGGGCGAGAGCCUGAUCCAGCCAUUCCACGUGCAGGAUGAAGGCCCUCGGGUUGUAAACUGCUUUUGUACAGAACGAAAAGGUUUCUACUAAUACUAGGAGCUCAUGACGGUACUGUAAGAAUAAGCACCGGCUAACUACGUGCCAGCAGCCGCCGUAA
rnacentral:rRNA from 1 species